rnacentral:rRNA from 1 species
UACGUAGGGUGCGAGCGUUGUCCGGAAUUAUUGGGCGUAAAGAGCUCGUAGGCGGUUUGUCGCGUCGACUGUGAAAACCCGAGGCUUAACCUCGGGCCUGCAGUCGAUACGGGCAGACUAGAGUUCGGUAGGGGAGACUGGAAUUCCUGGCGUAGCGGUGAAAUGCGCAGAUAUCAGGAGGAACACCGGUGGCGAAGGCGGGUCUCUGGGCCGAUACUGACGCUGAGGAGCGAAAGCGUGGGGAGCGAACAGG